UACAGAGGGGGCAAGCGUUGUUCGGAAUUACUGGGCGUAAAGGGCGCGUAGGCGGCCUUCUAAGUCGAACGUGAAAUCCCUGGGCUCAACCCAGGAACUGCGUCCGAUACUGGAAGGCUUGAAUCCGGGAGAGGGAUGCGGAAUUCCAGGUGUAGCGGUGAAAUGACGUAGAGAUCGGGAGGAACAUCAGUGGCGAAGGCGACUUCCUGGCCUGUUCUUGACGCUGAGGCGCGAAAGCUAGGGGGAGCAAACGGG
rnacentral:rRNA from 1 species